rnacentral:rRNA from 1 species
GAUGAACGCUAGCGGCAGGCCUAACACGUGCAAGUCGAGGGGUAGAAGUUGCUUGCAACUUUGAGACCGGCGCACGGGUGCGUAACGCGUAUGCAAUCUACCUUGUACAGGGGGAUAGCCCAGAGAAAUUUGGAUUAAUACCCCAUAGUGUAAUGAAAUCGCAUGGUUUUAUUACUAAAGUUCCAACGGUACAAGAUGAGCAUGCGUCCUAUUAGCUAGUUGGUGUGGUAACGGCACACCAAGGCAACGAUAGGUAGGGGUCCUGAGAGGGAGAUCCCCCACACUGGUACUGAGAAACGGACCAGACUCCUACGGGAGGCAGCAGUGAGGAAUAUUGGUCAAUGGGCGCAAGCCUGAACCAGCCAUGCCGCGUGCAGGAAGACGGUCCUAUGGAUUGUAAACUGCUUUUGUACGGGAAGAAACACUCCUACGUGUAGGAGCUUGACGGUACCGUAAGAAUAAGGAUCGGCUAACUCCGUGCCAGCAGCCGCCGUAA